UCCCGGCUAGCUCAGUUGGUAGAGCGUCAGACUCUUAAUUUCACAAGGGUUUCUGCAGUUCUUGCAGUGUUCAUCUGAAUGUCGUGGGUUCGAGCCCCACGUUGGGAG
rnacentral:tRNA from 1 species